CAACCAGCAGGGCUGGAGAAGCCAGUGUUACUAAAUUCUGCAUCGCACUAACCUGACCCUCCUUUUGACUCUGGUGUGCAAAUUUGAUCAUUAAGUAAGAUUGACUGAAGCAGCAUCCUUUUCAUGGAACCCCUUCUAAUACCUUGAGGUGAAACAUGAAAAAAGGCAGAAUAAGAAAUUACAAAACCACAAGAAUAAAAAUUGGAGGAAACAAUGCUGAGCAAAAUUUCAACAAAUGUAUUGAAUAUGGAGAGUGGUUUGUCCCCACCUGAGCAGAACUCCAGGGGACCAUCACUGACGAGUGAUGACCAGCCCCACAGAACUCAGGCAGGCUCAGGACUGGAGGCAACAGUGAAGUAUGAAGCUAAAUACAGUACAGCUAUUCUGGGUCUGCAACAUCACAAAGAAACAAAACUCCACAGACAACAGCUUGGCAGAAAUCAAACUUUUGGCUCCACUUUUCUCCGGUGCAUUUAGUUCUACUGAAAACAAAAACAAAACCUACCCUUUCAAAACGAGAAAUCUUCAUCGUUUUAAGCGUUGCAGCAUCAACCAUCACCGGGGGUCCAAGUUCGAAAACAUUGCGAAGGAAUUCAUUUGACUUAAAUAAAAGAAAAAGGUAAUGAGGCUAAGUAUUAAAUAUCAGCUCUUUUUUCAUUAAAGUGAAAUGUGAUUAACAGGA